rfam:Eucalyptus grandis cultivar BRASTZ1 unplaced genomic scaffold scaffold_8, whole genome shotgun sequence.
UGGAGAAGGGGAGCACGUGCAGAGAGGCCCCAGGACUCGACGAGCAAGAGGGAGGCUCUGCACGUGCCCUGCUUCUCCAGC